rnacentral:rRNA from 1 species
GGAAUUUUCCGCAAUGGGCGAAAGCCUGACGGAGCGACGCCACGUGGAGGAUGAAGGCCUUAUGGGGUUGUAAACUCUUUUUCUGUGAGAAGAGAUAGGACGGUAUCACAGGAAUAAGCCCCGGCUAACUACGUGCCAGCAGCCGCGGUAAUACGUAGGGGGCGAGUGUUGUUCGGAUUUACUGGGCAUAAAGGGAGCGUAGGCUGGAGAUCAAGCUAGGUGUGAAAGACUAUGGCCCAACCAUAGAAUUGCACUUAGAACUGGUCUUCUGGAGUUCAGAAGGGGUGAGCAGAAUUCCCGGUGUAGGGGUGAAAUCUAUAGAUAUCGGGAGGAAUACCGGUCGCGAAGGCGGCUCACUGGUCUGACACUGACGCUGAGGCUCGAAAGCGUGGGUAGCAAACAGGAUUAGAUACCCCGGUAGUCC